UACGUAGGGUGCAAGCGUUGUCCGGAAUUACUGGGCGUAAAGCGUGCGCAGGCGGUUUGCUAAGACAGGUGUGAAAUCCCCGGGCUUAACCUGGGAACUGCGCUUGUUACUGGCAAGCUAGAGUGUGGCAGAGGGGGGUGGAAUUCCACGUGUAGCAGUGAAAUGCGUAGAGAUGUGGAGGAACACCGAUGGCGAAGGCAGCCCCCUGGGCUAACACUGACGCUCAUGCACGAAAGCGUGGGGAGCAAACAGG
rnacentral:rRNA from 1 species